rnacentral:rRNA from 1 species
CUAUCUGCAGUCGAGCGGACAGAAGGGAGCUUGCUCCCGGAUGUUAGCGGCGGACGGGUGAGUAACACGUGGGUAACCUGCCUGUAAGACUGGGAUAACUCCGGGAAACGGGAGCUAAUACCGGAUAGUUCCUUGAACCGCAUGGUUCAAGGAUGAAAGACGGUUUCGGCUGUCACUUACAGAUGGACCCGCGGCGCAUUAGCUAGUUGGUGGGGUAAUGGCUCACCAAGGCGACGAUGCGUAGCCGACCUGAGAGGGUGAUCGGCCACACUGGGACUGAGACACGGCCCAGACUCCUACGGGAGGCAGCAGUAGGGAAUCUUCCGCAAUGGACGAAAGUCUGACGGAGCAACGCCGCGUGAGUGAUGAAGGUUUUCGGAUCGUAAAGCUCUGUUGUUAGGGAAGAACAAGUGCGAGAGUAACUGCUCGCACCUUGACGGUACCUAACCAGAAAGCCACGGCUAACUACGUGCCAGCAGCCGCGGUAAUACGUAGGUGGCAAGCGUUGUCCGGAAUUAUUGGGCGUAAAGGGCUCGCAGGCGGUUUCUUAAGUCUGAUGUGAAAGCCCCCGGCUCAACCGGGGAGGGUCAUUGGAAACUGGGAAACUUGAGUGCAGAAGANGAGAGUGGAAUUCCACGUGUAGCGGUGAAAUGCGUAGAGAUGUGGAGGAACACCAGUGGCGAAGGCGACUCUCUGGUCUGUAACUGACGCUGAGGAGCGAAAGCGUGGGGAGCGAACAGGAUUAGAUACCCUGGUAGUCCCACGCCGUAAACGAUGAGUGCUAAGUGUUAGGGGGUUUCCCCCCCCUUAGUGCUGCAGCCUAACGCAUUAAGGCACUCCGCCUGGGGGA